GGAUAUGGAAGGGCAAAUGUUCUACAUACAUUUGUAAGUUGGUAGAACAAAAUGCAGAAGACAGAAUCCAGACUAUUUUCUUUAUUAGUAUGUUUUUUAAACUUUCAGGAAUGUGAACAUUUAUCACGGUUCCAUGAGUGUAAUGGUUAAUCUCAAUAGUCAACUUGAUGACGUCUAGAAUUCCCUGGAAUAUGGGCCUCUAAACAUGUAUGUGUGGGAGUUAUCUUGAUUAGGUUAAUUGAAAUGGGAAGACCCAGCCACUGUGGGUAGCACCAUUCCCUGGGCUGAGAACCUGUACUGUAUAAAACAGAAAAAAAAAAGAGUUAAGCACAGCAUUUAUUGCUCUCUGCUUCUUGAUUGUGGAUGCAGCCUCAGGCCCCUCCACCAUGGCUUCCCAACCAGUUGCUUUAAGCUGUGAAUCAAAAUGAACUCUUCCUGAAGAGUGCUUCUAUUAGGGAAUUUUAUCACUGAGACAGUAUAAGUAUCUUAGGACACCAUGGCUGGCUCAGAAGAGGAGAGCCACAUAAUAUGAAGUUUAAGUUAAAUAGAAUUAUGGUCAAGAGAUGCAUUGUAUAGCACGGUAAUAAAAGUUAGUAGCAAUAUAUUGCAGCUUUCAAAGACAUGUAGGAGUUAGAUGUGGAGAGGGGAACUUUUGUCCCAGGGACAGAGAAGUUUUUCAGUGACCACUAUUGAAAGUACAAUUGGGACCAUCCUUAGAGUUACAUGGGUACUCACAGAACAGCCUAUGACAGUGAGGGAUUUUUCUUCCUUUUUAAUAAACGUUUUCACUUGAUUUUCUGGACUAGUCUGAACUAUGUGUGAAGCAACACAACUUUUCAGGAAAUUCUGUUCCCUUAGUUUCUAAGUAUAUUCCAAACUUGUGAGGCUUCCUGUCUCUGGUCUUUUCCAAACCCCCUCUCUCUCUCUCUACCUGUAGAUCUCUCUGUUUUAUACCUUCUCAAAUUCUUUUAUUUCUAUAUUAUAAAAGCAACUUGCCUUUGUGACAAAGCCCUCUUGGAGGCAGAGAAGGGUAAGAAAAUGACCUGAAAGAAGUAGAACCCUUCUUAAUGGUGUAGGCAUGAGAAAGGACUACUGGUGUUCAUCUCACAUUUGCAGGAGAGCUGUUGCAAGCCCCACUCUAUGAAUGAAGGAAUAUAGAGUUUAUAUAGAGUCAUAUAGAGCUUAUAUGGUUUGUAAAACAGUGUGAUGUUUGCAGGAAUUGAACAGAUACUUUGAAAAUUCUUGCACUAACAUGCAUAGCUCACCUUAUAUUUUCUGCUAAACUCAUAAGUAUUGGGUAAGUAUACUGAAGUUCAGAGUGGAUUUCAUAUCUUAUCGCCCACACAGCUAGCAUGCAUGAGAGCUAUAAUCUGAACCCUCUGUAUUCACAUCAUUUUUUAGGGAACUGUCAAUACUCCUCUGAUCUCUGCCUUAUUAUAAGGAGACAAAUUCAUAAUACUAAAAUAGCUAACUUCUUAUUUAUUAACUGGAUAGUUCUGCAGGAACAUUAUUUAUAAGAAAUUAGGAAAUAUUAAUAGGGCUAGAGAGAUGGUUUAUCUGUUAAGAGUGUUUGGUGCUCCUGUAAAGGGCCUGAGCUCUGUUCUAAGCAUCCGUGUGCAGAGGCCCACAACUGUCUGUGGCUCGGGAUCUAGGAGAUGGAAUGCCUCCUUGCCUUGUGAGUACCUCACAAAUGGGCGCAAACCUACCGACAGAUACACAGACACAUAUGUAAUUUAAAACAGCAUCAGUUUUAGAAGAGGUGGCGAAGAGUUAGGUCCGUGCUUAAGAGUAUUUACUGCUCUUGUAGAGGACCUGGAUUCUGCUCCUAGCACCCACAUAUUGGCUCACAGAAAUCUAUCAUUCCACUUCCAGGGUGAUCAGACACCCUCUUAUGGCCUCUGAAGGCAAUGCAGGCACACAGUACACCACAUGUGUAUAGGUUAAAUGCUCUUAUACAUAAAAAUAAAA
rnacentral:lncRNA from 1 species